UGGGGAAUAUUGGACAAUGGGCGCAAGCCUGAUCCAGCCAUGCCGCGUGAGUGAUGAAGGCCUUAGGGUUGUAAAGCUCUUUCGCCGGUGAAGAUAAUGACGGUAACCGGAGAAGAAGCCCCGGCUAACUUCGUGCCAGCAGCCGCGGUAAUACGAAGGGGGCUAGCGUUGCUCGGAAUCACUGGGCGUAAAGCGCACGUAGGCGGAUCGUUAAGUCAGGGGUGAAAUCCUGGAGCUCAACUCCAGAACUGCCCUUGAUACUGGCGAUCUCGAGUUCGAGAGAGGUUGGUGGAACUCCGAGUGUAGAGGUGAAAUUCGUAGAUAUUCGGAAGAACACCAGUGGCGAAGGCGGCCAACUGGCUCGAUACUGACGCUGAGGUGCGAAAGCGUGGGGAGCAAAACAGGAUUAGAUACCCUGGUAGUCCACGCCGUAAACGAUGGAUGCUAGCCGUUGGGGGGUUUACCUCUCAGUGGCGCAGCUAACGCCUUAAGCAUCCCGCCUGGGGAGUACGGUCGCAAGAUUAAAACUUAAAUGAAUUGACGGGGUCAUAGCUG
rnacentral:rRNA from 1 species